UUGACCUCGGAUCAGGUAGGAGUACCCGCUGAACUUAAGCAUAUCAAUAAGCGGAGGAAAAGAAACCAACAGGGAUUGCCCUAGUAACGGCGAGUGAAGCGGCAACAGCUCAAAUUUGAAAUCUGGUCUUCGGGCCCGAGUUGUAAUUUGUAGAGGAAGCUUUUGGCGCGGUACCUUCUGAGUCCCCUGGAACGGGGCGCCAUAGAGGGUGAGAGCCCCGUAUAGUUGGAUACCAAGCCUGUGUAAAGCUCCUUCGACGAGUCGAGUAGUUUGGGAAUGCUGCUCAAAAUGGGAGGUAAAUUUCUUCUAAAGCUAAAUACCGGCCAGAGACCGAUAGCGCACAAGUAGAGUGAUCGAAAGAUGAAAAGCACUUUGAAAAGAGGGUUAAAUAGCACGUGAAAUUGUUGAAAGGGAAGCGCUUGUGACCAGACUUGCGCCGGGCUGAUCAUCCGGUGUUCUCACCGGUGCACUCUGCCCGGCUCAGGCCAGCAUCGGUUCUCGCGGGGGGACAAAGGUCCUGGGAACGUAGCUCCUCCGGGAGUGUUAUAGCCCAGGGCGUAAUGCCCCCGCGGGACCGAGGUCGCGCUCUGCAAGGAUGCUGGCGUAAUGGUCAUCAGCGAC
rnacentral:rRNA from 1 species